AGUGAACGCUGGCGGUAGGCCUAACACAUGCAAGUCGAACGGCAGCACAGUAAGAGCUUGCUCUUACGGGUGGCGAGUGGCGGACGGGUGCGGAAUACAUCGGUAUCUACUUUUUCGUGGGGGAUAACGUAGGGACACUUACGCUAAUACCGCAUACGACCUACGGGUGAAAGCAGGGGAUCUUCGGACCUUGCGCGAUUGAAUGAGCGGAUGUCGGAUUAGCUAGUUGGCGGGGUAAAGGCCCACCAAGGCGACGAUCCGUAGCUGGUCUGAGAGGAUGAUCAGCCACACUGGAACUGAGACACGGUCCAGACUCCUACGGGAGGCAGCAGUGGGGAAUAUUGGACAAUGGGCGCAAGCCUGAUCCAGCCAUACCGCGUGUGUGAAGAAGGCCUUCGGGUUGUAAAGCCCUUUUGUUGGGAAAGAAAAGCAGCAGGUUAAUACCCCGCUGUUCUGACGGUACCCAAAGAAUAAGCACCGGCUAACUUCGUG
rnacentral:rRNA from 1 species